AGCCUUUUGUUUUUUUAUUAAAGGUAUUUUCUGCUCAGUGUUGGUAAAUAGCCGCAGUAAUUUGACUGUGCAAAGGUAGCAUAAUCAUUUGCCUCAUAAUUGGGGGCUUGUAUGAAUGGUAUUACGAAAAUUUGACUGUCUUUUACUUAUUAAUAUAAUUUGUGUUUAGUGUGAAGACACACUAAUAGUUUAGUGGGACAAGAAGACCCUCUUGAGUUUUAUUUGAUUGUUUAUUUUUUAUAUAAAUUUAAUUUGGUUGGGGCGACCUAGGAAGGGACUUACUUACAUCUUCCUUUUAAUUAUAGAGAACCAUUAUUUUUGGCAUAUAGAUUAAGUUACCAGAGGGAUAACAGCGUAAUUUUUUUUGAGAGUUCUUAUUAAAAAUAAAGAUUGCGACCUCGAUGUUGACUUAUAGUUUCCUUUUGGUGCAGUAGCUGUAAGGGUAGGUCUGUUCGACCUUUAAUACCUU
rnacentral:rRNA from 1 species